rnacentral:rRNA from 1 species
GACGAACGCUGGCGGCGUGCUUAACACAUGCAAGUCGAACGAAAAGGCCCGGCUUUUGUGCGGUGGUCUGGGGGCGAACUGGGGAGUAACACGUGAGUAACCAGUCCCUGACUGUGAGGUAACUUCAGGAAAGUUGGGCUAAUACCGCCUAGGAUCUAUUGCUUCAGGGUGGGGGUGGGAAAGUUUCGGCGGUUGGGGAUGGACUAGCGGCUUAUCAGCUUGUUGGUGGGGUAGUGGCUUACCAAGGCUUUGAGGGGUAGCAGGCCUGAGAGGGUGAGCGGACACACUGGACCUGAGAUAAGGCACAGACUACUAUCGUACGCAGGAGUGGAGAAUAUUGCACUAUGGGAGGAAGCAUGAUGUAGCAAAGCCGCGUGCGGGAUGAGGGGCUUCGGGUUGUAAACCAAUGUCGCCUUUGCCGAAGCGUGAGUGACGGUAACGGGUAAAGAAGCACCGGCUAACUACGUG